rnacentral:rRNA from 1 species
CACGGGGGGAGCAAGCGUUGUUCGGAAUCACUGGGCGUAAAGGGCGUGUAGGCGGUCAGGUAAGUGAGAUGUGAAAUGCCCCGGCUCACCCGGGGACCGGCAUCUCAUACUGCUUGGCUUGAGUACGGGAGAGGAUGUGGGAAUUCCUGGUGUAGCGGUGAAAUGCGUAGAUAUCUGGAGGAACACCGGUGGCGAAGGCGGCAUCCUGGACCGGCAUUGACGCUGAGGCGCGAAAGCCAGGGGAGCAAACGGG